rnacentral:tRNA from 1 species
GUGGAUGUAGCUCAGGGGUAGAGCGCCUGACUGUGGAUCAGGAGGCCGUGGGUUCAAUCCCCAUCAUCCACC